UACAGCAUGGCCUUGUAGCCUUUUCCUGACUUAUGAGCAGCCACAAUGCACAGCUGCAGGCCCUCACUGAGCUCCUUUGUCUUAGCCAUGACUGUCCACAAACCAACUGCAGAGAGCUGCUUUUUUUCACCUGUUGAUUUGAUUAAACCAGCUGUUCCCAAUUAAUCAGGGUAAUUAGGAUACUUUAGAACAGCUUGCACACUUUUGCUCAAAUGUAAAUAAAAGCUGAGAAAUGUUUUUUUUUCCACAAUGAUGCUUCUUGUACAUCAUCUUAUUAUCUUUUGGGAGACACCUAUGUCAUUUCUAGUCCAAAAAUAACUUUCUGGUUGAAUAACAGUAACUUUAAAUCAAAAUUUGCCAGGGGUAUGAAUAAUUGCGGGCUUGACUGUAACUGUAUGUAUAUAUGAAAUAUAUGAGAGAGAAAUAAAAAGAAAAGUAUUUCAGUGAUGAUGUCAUUCCCCCCUUUUCAUAUAUAUAUUUUUUAGGGUAAACAGUGUCUCAAGACAGACCAACACUUGGAUUAGUCUGCACUAGAGAUGGCACGAUACCACUUUUUUAUGUCCGAUACCGAUUCCGAUAUCAUAAAUUUGGAUAUCUGCCGAUACCGAUAUGAAUCCGAUAUAGUGUUUUUUAAUCAACAAAACAGUUUUUUAAAAAUAUCUUGCUGCAUUUUGUAUAAGUUCAUACUCAAGUUUAAAACAACAACUACACUAAAGCUAUUCUGUUAUACCUGUAUGCAAAAAAAAAAAAAUUUCAUAGUUCAGCAAUACUGAUCAAUCUAAUAAACUUAAACCUACACCAUCCUCCCUAUUCUGGUAUUUUAAAGAGUACUUAGCGUAAAUAUUAAGCAACCUAACUAAUAGGGUUCCAACUCCCAGCAACAACAAAAAUAAAUAAAUAAAAAAUAGGGAACCACCCCUCACGCUCCACCUCAUGAUGCUUAAUCGACGUAAUCAACCUUAAUUUGAUGCAGUGUGAAAAAAAAUGCACAGAAAUCAAUUAUUUUUCAAGAUAUAUUAAAUAGAUUCAACAUCUUUCUUCAACAAAAUUGCAGACUGCACAGAUGGUACCUUCCCAAAGGAAAAAGUACUAUAGCUUACUAGGGUAUAUAUAUUAGACUUAAUAGUCACUAUAUACAGUAAUUGACUUCUAUUCAUUUUACAUCAAAUUAAAACUUUGGGUGUAAGAUUCGGAUAAUUAUUUAUUAAAAGCUAAACAUUUUAAAUGAGAAUAAGAAAGAAAAGUAUGUCUUUGUGCCCCCUUUUCCCUGUUAAUGCCCUAUCGCCCCCCCUGGCUAAACUUUGCUAGAUCCGCCCCUGCACAGUUACCAGCCGUCAGCUAGUAGAAAAAGAUCCUCGAGUAGAAAGUAAUAUUAAAU
ensembl:lncRNA